rnacentral:rRNA from 1 species
UCGACCUGAGGUCAGG